GUCUGCUUCUUAAAAGUAAAAAGCUGUGGUAUAUGUUACUAGAUGGCUUCUGCAUUGUUCAUUUAAGUACUACGCGAUGAAAUAUAGACAUGAUUUAGCAGCGUAAUUUAGUUUCUCAUCAUUCUGUUUUCUGAAGACUUGGCAUCUCAAGGAAGACUCUUUUGAAGUCAAUUUCCCUGACCCUGGAUCCACAGAGCCACCUGCAGAUGUCACACUGAAACUUUGCUGUUGACACACCACCUGUUUUUCCUUGUUCUCCCUCGGUUUUUGCUUUCAUCAAGAAAAUUCUUCAAACAGCUGGGUGAUGCCAAUACAUGGAGCCCGCUGGGAAGUACAUUCUUGUUCCACACUAGAAAACCAGACUUAAUUAGUCAGUCACAUUUAGAGUACUUUUUCUUCUCCAUGACAACUCUAAUCACGUUAGCCAUAUUUGAACUGGAAAAUAGCAGUGUUUUCAGCCCCACAUGAUGAACACAAAUUUAUGUUUAAAUACAAAUAUUAGAGAAAGACAAAUAGGUUGACAUAAUUAUGUGGUUGAUUCUCCUGUGGCUAGAAAAAAAAACAAAUGUGCCACCUCAUCACCUCAGUCUUCCUCACUGAGACCUGUUAUCUAGAAAGGGGAUAUUCUAGGGGAUCACAAUGGCGAAUUAGUGAGUUUGGGGAUUAUUCUUUUGUUUUGCUUUCUUUUUUCACUCAGGAAGAGUGACUAAAACCACGUGGCUAUUUUUAUGUCAUGACUUAAAUACAUCUUCAUCGCCAAGCAUUGAAAUUUCACUAUCACUGUGUUCCUU
rnacentral:lncRNA from 1 species